AAAACCAAGUAAAGUUACUAUGGAAAAAAAAAAAAACUUGCACUUCCUUUUUACGAUUUUUUUUUUUUUUUUUUUUUUUUUUUUUUUAAUUUUCUUAAUAUAUUAUUUCGCUUCAUUUUCCGAAGCAGAGGCAGACUGAGAGG
rnacentral:ribozyme from 16 species